AAAUGCAUUGCAUUCCAUAUGGAUAUUCAGUUAUUCCAACACCAUCUGUUGAAAAGUCCAUCUCUUUACCUGUAGUUAUUUAAAUUUUGUUGUAUUGGUCUCUCUUACUAGUCUAUAAGUUUCAUAUAUUGUUCUAAUGUAACCUGGGCUCUUCUCUAUCCCUGCUACCUUCUUACAGGUAGAGAAAGCAGAGAAAGAGCAUGCUUGCAAGUUAAUUCAGGACAUGAUCCCAGGGAGCAGGAAUAGGGGACUGGGGAGAAUGAGGUAGGAACAAGGGAAAGCCAGUGCCAUGGUGUGUUAUAGAGCUGGUCACCACUGUGGGCAGCUGGGGCUUGACCCAGCUGGGAUGUGAUGAGGAGCAGUGUAGAGUGCACCUCCUAGUUGUCCACUGAGCGUCAGAGAAGAAAGCACAUAGCCACUAACCCCAGCCGCCAAGGGCCCAGGGUUACUCCCAAGGGGUUAACGUCCUCAGACAUCCAGUUUGCAGUACUGGAGUCCAGGGAGAAGCCCCAGCAGAAGGCAAGAGCAGAGCCGUGUGGAGCAGCUGAGCCUAUGUAUCACAAAAUCUGCAAAGAAGAUUCUAUAAUAAUUCGUGAAUAGCAGUGAUCACUUUAGUUUUAUAGCAUACUUAUGAAUGGCCAAAAUGUGGUUAAUAUGCAAUGAAGAAAACAGAAAUAUUGUGAUUUAAAAAUUGAUACACUUUAACAAAUCUACACAAAUAACUUUGGUGAAUUUAUCUAUGUAAGCAAUUCCAAUAAAUUAUCUCUCCUACUUAUUCCACUCUCAAGGAGAUGUGUGUGUAUCUAUAUACAUAUACACACACACAAUGUAUAUAUACACAUAUAUGUGUAUGUGUGUGUAUACAUCUCUCUCCAAAUUAUGAAGAUAUUCAAAUUUAGGGAUAAUAAACUAUAAAUGUUAUACUCAGAGUCAUCACCAACUAUUCCAAACCUAAGUUGCUACAGAUGCCCUUGUUUUAGCAUCCUUUUACGUAGAUAGCAAGGUCUCAUUCUGAUACUCAGAAGAUUUUAAAAAGGGAAAAAAGUCAUUAGACUUGGUAUCUCACUUUUUAUGGUGAAGAAAAUCUUAAAAUUAUGUUCACAUGUAAAAUAAAAUGAAUUGUGGAGCUAUGAAAGCUACUAGACCAUCAAUUUCAGAUAGCCCCAUUCUAAAAUUAUCUGGAAAUGUGUGUGUAUAUAUAACCUGAAAAAAUGAGUGGGAAUAUUGUAGACAAGAAGGUGAACCAUGUGCGGAAGAUAAAAAUAAUCAUGCCCAUACGGUGGGGUCACCAGGUCUAGCAGAUAACCCAAAAUGUCAUAAAAGAAAAAUGUGUUUAGAAAGUUUCAACAGGGCCAAAACACAA
rnacentral:lncRNA from 1 species